GCUCCUUUAGUUUAGUGGUGAUGAUGGCGUAAUGGAUAUAACACAUGCCUUUGGGGUAGGAGACCCAGGUUCAAUUCCCACUGCGAUACAUUAACCAAUGUGUCCCUGAGCAAGACACUUGACCCAUAGUGGCUCCAAAAGUGUGCGGCCUCUGACAAAUAUAGCAAUUGUACGUCGCUUUGGACAAAAAGCGUCAGCUAAAUUACAUGUAAUGUAAUAUAAAUUCAG